CACGUAGGAGGCGAGCGUUGUCCGGAAUCAUUGGGCGUAAAGAGCGCGCAGGCGGCUUGGCAAGUCGAGUGUGAAAUCCCGGGGCUCAACCCCGGGACUGCAUCCGAUACUGUCAGGCUAGAGGUAGGUAGGGGAGAUCGGAAUUCCUGGUGUAGCGGUGAAAUGCGCAGAUAUCAGGAGGAACACCGGUGGCGAAGGCGGAUCUCUGGGCCUUACCUGACGCUCAGGCGCGAAAGCUAGGGGAGCGAACAGG
rnacentral:rRNA from 1 species